CAGCAGCCGCGGUAAUACAGAGGAUGCAAGCGUUAUCCGGAAUGAUUGGGCAUAAAGUGUCUAUAGGUGGCUUUUCAAGUCCGCCAUUAAAUCCCAAGGCUCAACCCUAGACAGGCAGUGGAAACUACCAAGGUGGAGUACGAUAGGGGCAGAGGGAAUUUCUGGUGGAGUGGUGAAAUGUGUUGAGAUCGGAAAGAACACCAAUGGCGAAAGCACUCUGCUGGGCCGACACUGACACUGAGAGACGAAAGUUAGGGGAGAAAAUGGGAUUAGAUACCCGGGUAGUCCCUGUCUCUUAUAC
rnacentral:rRNA from 1 species